UGGCAGAGUGGCCUUGCUGC
rnacentral:sRNA from 1 species